ACUGGCAUCAACCACAAACAUCCAGUAAUAGACUGAUGCAGAAGAUGCUUCUCCACCCAACGAAUCAAACCACAUCUGUACAGAGAAUCUGAAGUUAUGGCGGCAGAUUCCUGGUGAAGACGAGGACACAGCUGGAUCUGAUACUAGAAGAGGUUUAAGAUCACCUUCUCUUAUAGUGACAGGAGCAUACACCACAUGAACAUCCUCUUCACGUUUCUAUACAAAACACAAAACACAUAAGAUAAGCUAACAUGAAGCAGCUUGAGACUGGGCUGUCAGUGUUUUUACUUCAGGGUCCACAUGUCACAUUAGGUAUCCAGUAAUAACGUCACAGUGGCAAAAUUUUAAUUAUUAAAAAGGAAAAAUCACAUAUUGAUAAGAAUAAUGAAACUGUCAAUUCUGUAAAAGCAUAAAUAACAACAGCGUUGACAG
ensembl:lncRNA